rnacentral:misc_RNA from 1 species
CUUUCCCCUGACAGAAAACCUUUCAAAACCCUCGCUUAACUGCCCCCCAUUCACCACCGAUUCUUGGUGGUGCUCCGACGAUCACCUUCUUUUCCACCACCUUCGCCGGACUUAACAAUGGCGGCUGCCGCUCCCUCUGAUGUCUCCGAUGGACCAGUCCUCAGCCUCAUCAACAAGCGUCUCCGCGCCCUUCGCAAGAAACACAAUCGUAUCCUUCAGAUGGAAGAGGCUAUUGCUCAGGGAAAGCCCAUCAACAAGGAGCAAGAAGAAGUCCUUCGUUCUAAGCCUUCUGUCACCGCCCUAAUCGAUGAACUUGAAAAGCUUCGCCAACCGCUAUCAUCGGCUGUCUCUGAGGAAAUCAACUUGGCUGUACAACGCCAACAGGCGAGUGUCUCCUCUCAAUCUCAACCCGUUUUACCCGAUGAUACCCCUACGGAGGUUAGGGGUGAAAAGACGAGUGACGAGAAAGACCAAUCCGAACACGCUGUGGUUCAGGACCUACUAAACCUCCUCUAUUUUGGGUCUUUGUUUGACGUCAAGUCUCAAAGCGAUUUCACUUCAACGAUGCUUACAAGAACGCAUGAGAGAAGUUGCUGCAUCACCUACGAUUAUGUCACUGACGAUGCUACCGAUCUUCUCGUCGAGAGGGAUUUGGAUUUGAUAUCGACGAUGAGCGGCCUAUUGGUCUCUCGUCCCGUAGAUUCGAAUUUGCCGCAUAAGAAUGCGUUGGAGCGUUGCAUCGAGCACGCUAAACUCUGGCUCACGAAGGCGGACCAGCCUAUUGAACCCAACACGGAUGUUACUUAUGCGAACUUGAGAGAGAGGCUGCACAAGAUCAUGGCGUCGGAUUAUUUCACUACCACGCCUGAGAUAAAAGGUCCUGUUGAAGUAGCUGCUGUUGCUGCAGGAAACUAUGCCAAUUUUCAGGUUCCGGUGGCUGUCCAUGAAGAAGAUUCAGAUGAAAAGUUUCAACAGACGGAUGUUGAUGCUGGAGACUUGCAAGGCGAUGAUAUCAGUGAUGGUCAACCUGGUUCUGCUGACGAGCUGCCCAGUGAUGUGCAAGAGACUGGAAAUUCUUCUGAAUUCGUCACACCGCAAGAAGUGAGACCAGAAGAAGAAUUUGAGCAGAAACAUGCAGACGGAGAUGGAAAAGAACAGCAGUAUGUUCCUCGAAGGGGAGGAUAUAUGAACCAAAGAGGUGGCCGUGGUGUUGGUGGCCGAAGAGGAUAUUCUAAUGGCCGUGGAGGUCGAGGUGAUGGAAGAGGGGGAGGAUCCUACCAGAAUGGACGCACUCGAUAUUAUGACCAGUCAGGAAACUAUUAUCAGAGGAACUACUACAAUGGUCGAGGAAGAGGAGGUGGUAGGGGUGGUGGUGGACACUCUUACAACAGUCAUGGUUCCUCCCAAGGUGCUCCUAACUCUGCAAGUAUUGGAGUGGCUUCGUGACAUUACUGAUGAUGUCCUCGGGGUGUUUGUCAGAAGUGGGUGGGCGAUGCGAAUGAAUGUUUGUUGCUUUUCAUUUAUUUUUCUCUCCCUCUCUGGACGUUGGUCCUCGUCGAAUUCACCAUCCAACAUCUUGCUUUUUUUGUAGUCCCUAGUUUUGAUGGAUCCAAUGGCACAUGUAUAAAAAGACAGAUAUCGCAAAAACCAUUUGAUCCUAAGUUAUUUUGUGGACAUGAGUUGCUUUUGCUUAGACGUAUGCUAAGG